UACGGGGGGAGCAAGCGUUGUUCGGAUUUACUGGGCGUAAAGGGCGCGUAGGCGGCCACCGCAAGUCGGUUGUGAAAUCUCUGGGCUUAACCCAGAAAGGUCAACCGAUACUGCGGGGCUAGAGUGCAGAAGGGGCAACUGGAAUUCUCGGUGUAGCGGUGAAAUGCGUAGAUAUCGAGAGGAACACCUGCGGCGAAGGCGGGUUGCUGGGCUGACACGUGACGCUGAAGCGCGAAAGCUAGGGGAGCAAAUGGG
rnacentral:rRNA from 1 species